AGUACAAUCUGCUGCCCAGGACCUGGACAUUGACAGAUAAAAUGAAGUGGGUCAGUUGACUACAGAGGGAAGAAUAUGAAGAACUGCUUCGUUAUGCUAUAGUGACUCCAAAUAUUGAACCCGGUGCUUCACAGUCAUCUCAUCCUAAGGGAGAAUUGGUGCCAGAUGUCAGAAUUUCUGCAAUUCAUGAUAUUCUUCAUAGUCAAGGAAAUAACUCUGAAGUAAGAGAAACUGCAGUAGAAGUUGGAAAAGGAUGUGAUUUCAAUAUUUCAAGUCAUUCAAAGACAGAUGCUACAACUUUUCUUUUGUUCUAGAGUCAUCACCAGUGUUAUCCCCAAGGAAGCCUUCUCACCCGGUCAUGGAUUUUUUCAGUUCACAUCUUUUAGCUGACUCUUCCUCACCAGCAACAAAUUCUAGUCAAACAGAUGCCCAUGAAAUACUUGUGAGCGAUUUUCUCGUUUCUGAUGAAAACCUUCAGAAGAUGGAAAAUGUACUUGAUCUUUGGAGUUCAGGUCUUAAGACAAACAUCAUAUCUGAACUAAGUAAAUGGAGACUUAAUUUUAUUGACUGGCACCGAAUGGAAAUGAGAAAAGAGAAAGAAAAACAUGCAGCACAUUUAAAACAACUGUGUAAUCAGAUCAGUGACUUGAAGGAGCUGCAAAAAACCUUUGAAAUCUCCAUUGGGAGAAAAGA
rnacentral:sRNA from 1 species